rnacentral:rRNA from 1 species
CAAGUCGAACGCGAAAGUCCCCUUCGGGGGGCAAGUAGAGUGGCGCACGGGUGAGUAACACGUAGGUAAUCUACCUUUGGAUUGGGAAUAACAACCGGAAACGGUUGCUAAUACCGAAUAAUGCAGCGGCACCUAAUGGUGACAGUUGUUAAAGCGGGGGAUCGCAAGACCUCGCGUCUGAAGAGGAGCCUGCGGCAGAUUAGCUAGUUGGUAAGGUAACGGCUUACCAAGGCGAUGAUCUGUAGCCGGCCUGAGAGGGCGGUCGGCCACACUGACACUGACAUACGGGUCAGACUCCUACGGGAGGCAGCAGUCGGGAAUUUUGGGCAAUGGGCGCAAGCCUGACCCAGCAACGCCGCGUGAAGGAUGAAAUCCUUCGGGAUGUAAACUUCGCAAGAACGGGAAGAAUAAGUAAGAGUUAAUAUCUCUUACGAUGACGGUACUGUUUGUAAGCUCCGGCUAACUCCGUGCCAGCAGCCGCGGUAAUACGGGGGGAGCAAGCGUUGUUCGGAUUUACUGGGCGUAAAGGGCGCGUAGGCGGCCACCGCAAGUCGACUGUGAAAUCUCCGGGCUUAACCCGGAAAGGUCAGCCGAUACUGCGGGGCUAGAGUGCAGAAGGGGCAACUGGAAUUCUCGGUGUAGCGGUGAAAUGCGUAGAUAUCGAGAGGAACACCUGCGGCGAAGGCGGGUUGCUGGGCUGACACUGACGCUGAGGCGCGAAAGCUAGGGGAGCGAACGGGAUUAGAUACCCCGGUAGUCCUAGCCUUAAACGAUGAAUGCUUGGUGUCUGGGGUUUUAUAGUCCCCGGGUGCCGUCGCUAACGCUUUAAGCAUUCCGCCUGGGGAGUACGGUCGCAAGACUGAAACUCAAAGGAAUUGACGGGGACCCGCACAAGCGGUGGA